AUUGAACGCUGGCGGCAGGCCUAACACAUGCAAGUCGAGCGGAUGACGGGAGCUUGCUCCUUGAUUCAGCGGCGGACGGGUGAGUAAUGCCUAGGAAUCUGCCUGGUAGUGGGGGACAACGUUUCGAAAGGAACGCUAAUACCGCAUACGUCCUACGGGAGAAAGCAGGGGACCUUCGGGCCUUGCGCUAUCAGAUGAGCCUAGGUCGGAUUAGCUAGUUGGUGAGGUAAUGGCUCACCAAGCGACGAUCCGUAACUGGUCUGAGAGGAUGAUCAGUCACACUGGAACUGGGACACGGUCCAGACUCCUACGGGAGGCAGCAGUGGGGAAUAUUGGACAAUGGGCGAAAGCCUGAUCCAGCCAUGCCGCGUGUGUGAAGAAGGUCUUCGGAUUGUAAAGCACUUUAAGUUGGGAGGAAGGGCAGUAAGUUAAUACCUUGCUGUUUUGACGUUACCGACAGAAUAAGCACCGGCUAACUCUGUGCCAGCCGCCGCGGUAACAC
rnacentral:rRNA from 1 species